rnacentral:rRNA from 1 species
UACGUAGGGUGCAAGCGUUGUCCGGAUUUAUUGGGCGUAAAGAGCGUGUAGGCGGCCAGGUAGGUCCGCUGUGAAAACUCGAGGCUCAACCUCGAGAUGUCGGCGGAUACUGUCGGGCUAGAGUACGGAAGAGGCGAGUGGAAUUCCUGGUGUAGCGGUGAAAUGCGCAGAUAUCAGGAGGAACACCAAUUGCGAAGGCAGCUCGCUGGGACGUUACUGACGCUGAGACGCGAAAGCGUGGGGAGCAAACAGG